AGAGUUUGAUCCUGGCUCAGAUUGAACGCUGGCGGCAUGCCUUACACAUGCAAGUCGAACGGCAGCACGGGAGCAAUCCUGGUGGCGUGUGGCGAACGGGUGAGUAAUAUAUCGGAACGUGCCCUGUAGCGGGGGAUAACCUAUCGAAAGAUGGACUAAUACCGCAUACGCUCUACGGAGGAAAGCGGGGGUCGCAAGACCUCGCACUAUAGGAGCGGCCGAUAUCGGAUUAGCUAGUUGGCGGGGUAAAAGCCCACCAAGGCGACGAUCCGUAGCUGGUCUGAGAGGAUGAUCAGCCACACUGGAACUGAGACACGGUCCAGACUCCUACGGGAGGCAGCAGUGGGGAAUUUUGGACAAUGGGCGCAAGCCUGAUCCAGCCAUGCCGCGUGAGUGAAGAAGGCCUUCGGGUUGUAAAGCUCUUUCGGCAGGAACGAAAUGGUUCGUGCCGAUACCACGGAUUGAUGACGGUACCUGAAGAAGAAGCACCGGCUAACUACGUGCCAGCAGCCGCGGUAA
rnacentral:rRNA from 1 species